rnacentral:rRNA from 1 species
UUCAACUUGAGAGUUUGAUCCUGGCUCAGAAUCAACGCUGGCGGCGUGCCUCAUCCAUGCAAGUCGAACGCGAACGCGUCCUUCGGGACGCAAGUAGAGUGGCAGACGGGUGAGUAACGCGUGGGUGACCUACCUUCGAGUGGGGGAUAACCUUCCGAAAGGAGGGCUAAUACCGCAUAACAUCCCGUUCUUGGAUGGACGGUGAUCAAAGCCGGGGAUCUUCGGACCUGGCGCUUGUUGAUGGGCCCGCGUCCGAUUAGCUUGUUGGUGGGGUAACGGCUCACCAAGGCAACGAUCGGUAGCCGGCCUGAGAGGGCGGACGGCCACACUGGGACUGAGACACGGCCCAGACUUCUACGGGAGGCAGCAGGAAGGAAUUGUUCGCAAUGGGCGAAAGCCUGACGACGCAACGCCGCGUGGAGGAUGAAGACCCUCGGGUUGUAAACUCCUGUCGAGCGGGAAGAACGGCCCGCCGGUUAAUAGCCGGCGGGCGUGACGGUACCGCUAAAGGAAGCCCCGGCUAACUCCGUGCCAGCAGCCGCGGUAAUACGGGGGGGGCGAGCGUUGUUCGGAUUUACUGGGCGUAAAGGGCUUACAGGCGGCCGCACGUGUCGGUUGUGAAAUCCCCGGGCUCAACCUGGGAACUGCAAUCGAAACUGGGCGGCUAGAAGCCGGGAGAGGGAUGCGGAAUUCCAGGUGUAGCGGUGAAAUGCGUAGAUAUCUGGAGGAACACCCGUGGCGAAGGCGGCAUCCUGGACCGGACUUGACGCUGACGAGCGAAAGCUAGGGUAGCAAACGGGAUUAGAUACCCCGGUAGUCCUAGCCCUAAACGAUGAAUGCUUGGUGUGGCGGGUAUCGAUCCCCGCCGUGCCGGAGCUAACGCGUUAAGCAUUCCGCCUGGGGAGUACGGUCGCAAGGCUGAAACUCAAAGGAAUUGACGGGGGCCC